rnacentral:lncRNA from 1 species
GUAUUUUUUUGUGUUGUUAGUUUGCUUGAUUAUAAUUAUUAUGGCAUUUUCGUUGAAAAAAAUGUUAGGUAAAGGAAAAGCUAAAACCGGUGAAAGUAGUGGCCAAAAUACUACCCCUCCCCCGGCUCCCCGACCUAGAAAAGAUAAGCAAUUUCAAAGUAGUAGCCAACCUAGAAAUCCUAAUGAACCCUACGGAAUCCUUGAUAGGGAUCACCC